AGAGAGCUAAUUAAAAAUAGGGUAUUUCUAAGCGCUUGGAAUUUUACCUUGUAUUUAUUCAACGUGUUUCUUCCCCAACCCCCCUCUUUUUUUCUCCUUUAAUAUCAUUCGUAAGCUUGUGCUUGAGGUUGUCUUGGAACCUUGCUUGGGGAUUGUUGUUUUCAGCUUAUCUAACUGACUAUCUAUUUUCAGAAUGUGAUGUCUUGUCGCGAUUAAACAUUAAAGAGCCCUACGUGAUGUAGUUGUAGAAGACAGAUGUAUAUAGGACUGGAGGCUUUCAACCACAUCACAAAUCAUCCCGAGUGAUUAAUUGGCUUGCUCAAGGCCACUGAGGAAACCUAAAUGGGCCUUGUAAAGAUGGAAGAUACCUUAGCACAUUUGCAGUUUUCCAUGCAAUUUUCAUGACCACUUAACUAUCUCUCCUUCUGUUGCUGCUUAUCCUUUGCUAGAGCUAGCAGCAUUCCCAUUGGGAUUGAAAUCUCAUAAAGGAAAAACAAAACCCUUGACUUUUACACAGAAGUAAAACAAUAGAAGGAUGGAUUUUUAGCAGCGAAUAAAGAUGCAGUCGUUCCAUUGAGGACCUGUAUACUGCAUAAGCCAGAAAGAAGACUGAGAAAAUAUCUACAGACUCCUCACAUCUUGGACAUAAAUUGUUUCAAUUUCUCCCCUCGGCACGUGGCUAUAAGGCAUUACAUAUCAAAACAACUAGAAACAAAAACAGUUUUUUCCCCCUGCCAUCCCUCUGCUAAAUACUUAAUUCCUAUCUUAUGCCUAAAGGAUAUCUAACCAUGUAGUAGGACUGUAUUGCUAUUAUCCUUCCCAUCGUCUCAUCUUUCUCAUCUUUCCUACUAACUUUUCCUAUUGGUAUCUUAUGAUUUAUCACUUUGUUGUUUGUCUCUUAUGAUCUAUGAUUGUGUCUUAUGAUUUAUGAUCUAUGACUUACCAUUUUG